rnacentral:rRNA from 1 species
AGUGACAGCGUACCUUUUGUAUAAUGGGUCAGCGACUUAAUCUAGCAAGCAAGCUUAAACCGUUAGGUGUAGGCGUAGCGAAAGCGAGUCUUAAUAGGGCGUCGAGUUAGAUGGAUCAGACCCGAAACCGAGUGAUCUAGGCAUGACCAGGAUGAAGGUAAGGUAACACUUACUGGAGGUCCGAACCCACACCUGUUGAAAAAGGUCGGGAUGAGUUGUGCCUAGGGGUGAAAGGCCAAUCAAACUCGGAAAUAGCUCGUACUCCCCGAAAUGCAUUUAGGUGCAGCGUUGGUUUAGUUUUAUAGAGGUAGAGCUACUGAUUGGAUGCGGGGGCUUCACCGCCUACCAAUUCCUGACAAACUCCGAAUGCUAUAAAAUGAUGAUCAGCAGUGAGGGCAUGGGUGCUAAGGUCCAUGUCCGAGAGGGAAAGAACCCAGACCAUCAGCUAAGGUCCCCAAAUGUAUGUUAAGUUGAAUAAACGAGGUUGAACUGCUUAGACAGCUAGGAUGUUGGCUUGGAAGCAGCCAUUCAUUUAAAGAGUGCGUAACAGCUCACUAGUCGAGCGGUUCGGCAUGGAUAAUAAUCGGGCAUAAACAUACUACCGAAGCUAUGGACUUGAAAAAGUGGUAGGGGAGCAUUGUAGUGUCGUCGAAGGUGUACUGCGAGGUAUGCUGGAGAAGCUACAAAAGAAAAUGUAGGCAUAAGUAACGAUAAUGCGGGCGAGAAACCCGCACACCGAAAGACUAAGGUUUCCUCAGCUAUGCUAAUCAGCUGAGGGUUAGUCGGGACCUAACGCGAACCCGAAAGGGGUAGUGGAUGGACAACGGGUUAAUAUUCCCGUACCUGCUCACGCUAAAAGUGACGGAGGCGUAUAUUUGGUGCGAACUGACGGAAUAGUUCGUUGAAGGGAGCGGUAACGCCCCGAUAGUACACUGAGGCUACGGCCAAGGUGAUAAUCCAGAGAAGCGACUUCCAAGAAAAACGAGUGAAGCAGCCCGUACCGUAAACCGACACAGGUAGUUGGGAUGAGAAUUCUAAGGUGCUCGAGAGAUUCAUGGCUAAGGAACUAGGCAAAAUAGACGCGUAACUUCGGGAGAAGCGUCGCCCAUCUCCGGAUGGGCCGCAGUGAAAAGGUCCAGGCGACUGUUUAUCAAAAACACAGGGCUCUGCUAAAUCGAAAGAUGACGUAUAGGGCCUGACACCUGCCCGGUGCUGGAAGGUUAAGUGGA